rnacentral:lncRNA from 1 species
CUUUAUUCACCUUCCCCGCCCUGUUCUGAGAAUGGCAGACAACGGACACAGAGUCAACUCCAUAAGUCGGCUAUGACUCUCCUUUUGCACCAAGAAAACGCCUGAUGGAUUCUCGCUCUGACUCACCAUCAGUGAGACCCACAGUUGAGGGAAGCAAAGAGUGCAGAACCGUGAAUGCACCUCAAAGCCCUAGUCCAAAGCAGAUGCCAUCACUCCAGCCAGAUUCUCCAGCCAUGCUCCAGUGCCGGCGCCCACAUCACUUCAACCAGGCCUCCCUUCCUAUACUGGUGGCUCUACAGGCGCAGUCCCUGAUAUGAGAGGAAGACAUCUCUUCUGAGUUGCAAGCAGUCCCCUUUCUGGGCUGACCAGCAGAGUCCACCAUUACUGGACUACCCCCAGGCCUGAUGCCCCUUCCAACACCAAGCCUCAGGCCACGCAUCUCCUUCUACUGGCUUCCUCCUGAGUAAGAUUUAUUCUACGUCAACCAAAACUUGCACCUGGUUUACAGAUUUCCACCUCUUUCCAAUUUCUAUCCUUCUUGCUCAUUAUGCUCUUCUGUUACAUAAACUAAGUCUACUUGCUUUAAAUGAUAGCUCAGAGAGAGCAGAUAACUUGCCCAAGACUAUACAGCUAGUAAGUGGCAAAGCUGGGAUUUGAACUCAGCUCUCCUAAAGCCAAGCCCUGUGUUUGUUCCGCUAAUUCCUACUUUCUCUCUGUUGCAACAUUCAGGAAGCCACCUAUGCAUGAGAGGGUGGAGACCACAUCUCAUCCUCUUUAGUAAUAAUGACAGCAACAAGAGUUACCAGUGAGGGCCCUGUACCUGCUCAGUGCUCUACCAGCAGCCCUAAGAGGUGUUACUGUUCUUGUUUUCAGAUGAGAACAUGAAAAAGUAAUUUACUAAAUAUGAGACUAGCUGAAGGCCAUGCUUUCAGACUACCACAGUGAUGUAUCACCUCUGGUUCAACUGUAAUUCCUAGUGCACAGCAGUGGUCAAAAGUGCG